rnacentral:rRNA from 1 species
UACGUAGGGGGCAAGCGUUGUCCGGAAUCAUUGGGCGUAAAGAGCGUGUAGGCGGCCAGAUAAGUCCGCUGUGAAAUCUCGAGGCUCAACUUCGAGCUGUCGGUGGAAACUGUCUGGCUAGAGUCCGGAAGAGGAGAAUGGAAUUCCUGGUGUAGCGGUGAAAUGCGCAGAUAUCAGGAAGAACACCCGUGGCGAAGGCGGUUCUCUGGGCCGAUAUUGACGCUGAGGAGCGAAAGCGUGGGGAGCGAACAGG